CUCCUACGGGAGGCAGCAGUGGGGAAUUUUGGACAAUGGGCGAAAGCCUGGUCCAGCAAUGCCGCGUGCAGGAAGAAGGCCUUCGGGUUGUAAACUGCUUUUGUACGGAACGAAACGGCUUUUUCUAAUACAGAGAGCUAAUGACGGUACCGUAAGAAUAAGCACCGGCUAACUACGUGCCAGCAGCCGCGGUAAUACGUAGGGUGCGAGCGUURAUCGGAAUUACUGGGCGUAAAGCGUGCGCAGGCGGUUAUGUAAGACAGUUGUGAAAUCCCCGGGCUCAACCUGGGAAUUGCAUCUGUGACUGCAUAGCUAGAGUACGGUAGAGGGGGAUGGAAUUCCGCGUGUAGCAGUGAAAUGCGUAGAUAUGCGGAGGAACACCGAUGGCGAAGGCAAUCCCCUGGACCUGUACUGACGCUCAUGCACGAAAGCGUGGGGAGCAAACAGGAUUAGAUACCCUGGUAGUCCACGCCCUAAACGAUGUCRACUGGUUGUUGGGUGCAUUAGUACUCAGUAACGAAGCUAACGCGUGAAGUUGACCGCCUGGGGAGUACGGCCGCAAGGUUGARACUCAAAUGAAUUGACGG
rnacentral:rRNA from 1 species